UUACUGGUCUGGGGAAUCAAUCCCGUUAGCUAGGCUGCCUGGCUAAUGAGCACUAGGAAUUCUGUGCCUUUCUCCGCAUUGCUAGGAUCACAAGAGCCUGCUCCACCAUGCCAGACUUUUGUUUGCUUGUGUGUUUGCUUUUUGAGACAGGGAUUCUCUGUGUAGCCCCGGCUAUUCUGGUACUCAUUUUGUAGACUAGGCUGGUCUUGAACUCACAGAGAUCUGCGUGCCUCUGCCUGGGAUUAAAGUGCUGGAAUUAAAGGUUUCUGCCACCAUGCCCUGUGCAUGCCAGAUGUUUUCUGUGGCUGCUGGAGGUAAAGCUCAAGCCCUUGUGUUUGUAUGGCUAGCAUCUGAAUAGCCAUCUUGUCAACCCCAACAGACCCACAAAUAAGAAAAGAUAAGAAAUUGCAGAUCUCCUCAGAGAGGCUAGUCAUUCGGAGAUCUAGCUGUAACUGUGUUAUCCCUCUAAGAACCACAUAGGAGGAACACUGGAUCCCUUGGCUGAUGGUCCCUGUGCCUUGUUCCCAGCUGUGGGACAUCCUGUCCUUCCGUUCCUAUUUCCUCCUUGGCUUCUAUCAGGAUUUGAUUUUGAGACCUUGCUAAUAGCUGCCUUCCUGACCAAUCACAGGUGUGGGAAAUGUGAACGGGUAGCCAGAAGAUGGAUCAGCAGUCUCCUGAAAGCUGGAGUCCCAGACGGACAUCUGCAAGAUGCCCCCUCUCUGGAGCAACCCAGCCCUCCCGGGACAAGAAAUGUGGCGACUCUGUCAGGUGACUUACUCAGCAUCCUUUUACUGGGUUAGAACAAUGGUGGAGUCCAGAGCC
ensembl:lncRNA